CACUUUCUAACAAUAUAAAUCUGAAAAAGAUUAAACCACUACUACAAAGCAUAGGACAGACAGUAAACUUUUGAAGUACAAUUAAACAAAAUACUACUAAUCCUUAUCCCUUUAAAGGACAAAACAACAAGUUCCACAAUUUAUCACACAUCUACCUACAGCUAUGAAUUGUUUCUUCAACAUUAAUUGUCAUCCAUCUGUUGUGUCUUACCCUACUUAUGCUUCAAGUACCUCAGAACAUAGUGAACCCAAUAAAGUAAAACUUACCAAUAGGAAAUUAGUAAGAAAAUAAUACCUUUUGAAUCUGCUCAGUGGUGAUAUUGUUAGGAGGAAAAGAAGGCAUGACUGGAAUCAUAGGCGGUGGCUGUUGCAUCCUCGUAUACUGCUAAACCCUGCUCUUAAUUAAGUUCUCUCAAAAAAAAAACCUAGGUAGGUUCUAAUUGAACAACUAACAG
rnacentral:lncRNA from 1 species